GCAGUCUGCAACUCGACUGCACGAAGCUGGAAUCGCUAGUAAUCGCGGAUCAGCACGCCGCGGUGAAUACGUUCCCGGGCCUUGUACACACCGCCCGUCACACCAUGGAAGUCUGCAAUGCCCGAAGCCGGUGGCCUAACCACUUAUGUGGAAGGAGCCGUCUAAGGCAGGGCAGAUGACUGGGGUGAAGUCGUAACAAGGUACC
rnacentral:rRNA from 1 species